GGGGAUUUAGCUCAGCGGUAGAGCGCUUGCCUAGCACGUGCAAGGCCCUGGGUUCGAUCCCCAGCUCCG
rnacentral:tRNA from 1 species